CGUGCCUAAUACAUGCAAGUCGAGCGAAUGGAUUAAGAGCUUGCUCUUAUGAAGUUAGCGGCGGACGGGUGAGUAACACGUGGGUAACCUGCCCAUAAGACUGGGAUAACUCCGGGAAACCGGGGCUAAUACCGGAUAACAUUUUGAACCGCAUGGUUCGAAAUUGAAAGGCGGCUUCGGCUGUCACUUAUGGAUGGACCCGCGUCGCAUUAGCUAGUUGGUGAGGUAACGGCUCACCAAGGCAACGAUGCGUAGCCGACCUGAGAGGGUGAUCGGCCACACUGGGACUGAGACACGGCCCAGACUCCUACGGGAGGCAGCAGUAGGGAAUCUUCCGCAAUGGACGAAAGUCUGACGGAGCAACGCCGCGUGAGUGAUGAAGGCUUUCGGGUCGUAAAACUCUGUUGUUAGGGAAGAACAAGUGCUAGUUGAAUAAGCUGGCACCUUGACGGUACCUAACCAGAAAGCCACGGCUAACUACGUGCCAGCAGCCGCGGUAAUACGUAGGUGGCAAGCGUUAUCCGGAAUUAU
rnacentral:rRNA from 1 species